rnacentral:rRNA from 1 species
CAAGAGCGUAUAUUAAAGUUGCUGCGGUUAAAAAGCUCGUAGUUGGAUUUCAGUCUAGGAAGGUUAACUCGCCGAAAGGUUGUACGUUGAUUUUCCUCAGACUUCGUCAGAAGCUCGUGCUGCACUUAACUGUGUGGUACGAUGUUCUGACCUUUUACCUUGAGGAAAGUAGAGUGCUUCAGGCAGGCUACCCAGCUUGAAUACAUUAGCAUGGAAUAAUGAAAUGGAUCUCGGUUCGAUUUCGUUGGUUCUAGAGCUGAGGUGAUGAUCAAUAGGAACAGGCGAAGGUAUUCGUACUUGAGAGUGAGGAGUGAAAUCCGAUGAUCUCUUAAAGACGAUCCGAGGCGAAAGCAUUUGUCAAGGAUGUUUUCAUUGA